GCAACGCGAAGAACCUUACCAGGUCUUGACAUCCCGAUGCUAUUCUAGAGAUAGAAAGUUACUUCGGUACAUCGGUGACAGGUGGUGCAUGGUUGUCGUCAGCUCGUGUCGUGAGAUGUUGGGUUAAGUCCCGCAACGAGCGCAACCCCUAUUGUUAGUUGCCAUCAUUCAGUUGGGCACUCUAGCGAGACUGCCGGUAAUAAACCGGAGGAAGUGGGAUGACGUCAAAUCAUCAUGCCCCUUAUGACCUGGGCUACACACGUGCUACAAUGGUUGGUACAACGAGUUGCGAGUCGGUGACGGCGAGCUAAUCUCUUAAAGCCAAUCUCAGUUCGGAUUGUAGGCUGCAACUCGCCUACAUGAAGUCGGAAUCGCUAGUAAUCGCGGAUCAGCACGCCGCGGUGAAUACGUUCCCGGGCCUU
rnacentral:rRNA from 1 species